UAAAUAUAGAGAUGCCUACUAUGU
rnacentral:piRNA from 1 species